rnacentral:misc_RNA from 1 species
AACUUUUGGCAACGGAUCUCUUGGCUCUCGCAUCGAUGAAGAACGCAGCGAAAUGCGAUACGGAAUGUGAAUUGCAGAAUUCAGCGAAUCAUCGAAUCUUUGAACGCACCUUGCGCCCCUUGGCAUUCCGAGGGGCACACCCGGGUGAGUGUCGUGAAAUUCUCAAAACCUUUUCCUUGGCCGGAAAGGAGUUUGGACUUGGAGGCCGUUUGCUGGUUUCACCUCGAAGCGGGCUCCUCCCAAAUGGAUUAGUGGGGUCUGCUUUGCCGAUCCUUGACGUGAUAAGAUGCUUCUACGUCUCGGGUUUUGGCACUGUGCCUCUGCUUCUAACCGUCUCAUUGACAACGAUGGUGUUCCGGUCACCGCCGAUUCGUCGGUGGGAGGCUUGACCCACAAAACGACCUUGACCUCAAAUCGGGUGAGACUACCCGCUGAACUUAAGCAUAUCAAUAAGCGGAGGCU